GAAGGUAUAGCUCAGUGGUAGAGUGCGUGCUUAGCAUGCACGAAGUUCUGGGUUCAAUCCCAGGUACCUCCG
rnacentral:tRNA from 1 species